GCCUUGUUCGGUGGCUGGCUGGAGGAGACAUUCGACAAUGGCAACAGUGGCCAAUCAGAGUCGCCGGCCCUCACGAAAAAGCUUGAAGAGUUGAAGACGGUGAAACCCGGAGACGCUGGUGAAACUGCACGGUUGGGCGCCGCCGCCGCUUUGUAAUUGGCUGGAAAACUCCGCUGGGAGCGUACCUCCCUCGGUGAUUGGUGAAGGGAAGGGGGCUUCCGAGGACAGUUUGGCCAGUCAGGACUUCCCCUCCCUCUCCAAGGUGGGGAGAAGAAAGCGAAGGGAGGGCGUCUAUAAAGCGCCGUCUCAUUGGCCGGAAGCUUAGGCGCUGGAGUUGGGGCAAAAGGGAGAGGGUGGAGCUCGAAACUCGCGGCGGUGGCCAAUCGGCUCUCACUGCCGUCCAAUCGCAAGACUUAGCUGCAGUGUGAUUGGCCUUCGGCCUCCGUCCCAGGACCUGGGAGAUGCCCGACUAGGGUCGUGGCUGACGACCCGACGGCUCGCCUGCGGCCUCCAACUACGGUGGAAACCGCACAUAGGGACCGCCUGCCCUAGGCGCAGCAAAUCGGAAAGUGCUGCGGUCGGCGGCGCUGGGUUCUAAGAGCUCAAGCGAGCAGAGGGGUCGAGGGGUUCUCCCCAUCCACAGGAGGCUCUCGGCGGGGCGCAGCCAAUUCUGCGCGCCUAAGGCUCCCCUCUGCCCUGGAUCGCGUGUGCCGGGUGUCGGCCUCUUCCCCGAAAGGGCCUGACGGACAAAGGGGGCCUUCCCAGCCGGCAGCAAGCUCUCAGACGCUAAAAUGGGAACAAAGCUUCUUUGGGCGGCCGCGCCCCGCCCAGCCUCGGGGGCCAUUGAUAGAGAGGCCCGCUGCGCUUGGUGUGCGCGGCCCGGCCGGGCCUCUGGAAACGCCCAUGAGAAAUGAGCUCAUGCUGGAUGCGCGCGCUCCUUGGGCGCAACUGCCCAGCGCAAAACGGGCCCCGAAAGCAGAGACAGUGAUAUUGCCCAGGCUGGCAUGCAGUGGCUGUUCACAGGCGUGAUCUCACUACUGGUGAGCUUGGGAGUUUUGACCUGUUUCUUUUCUGACCUGGGUCGGUUCGCCUCUCCUUAGGCAACCUGCUGGUCGCCCACUUCCAAGAGGUUACCAUAUUGAUACAGAACUUAGUGCAGGCACUGGAUCAGCAUAGCACACUACAGCCCAGAAUUCCUGGACUCAAGCAACCCUCCCACCUCAACCUCCUGAGUAGCCAGAACUACAGGUGUGCACCACCCUGCCAGAAUAGUGACAUUUUAAUUUGCCUACAAAUUAUUGCAUUUGUCUGAGUGUCCAGGUUAAGAUUUAGUGCUUUUUAAACUUUACCACUAAAAAGACAUCCUAUUGCACCAGGACCUGCCCAUAAUGAAGCCUAAAAGCAGCCUGAUGAAACAGACUUUGUCCUCUACUCCACAAAAUAGCUGUUGGUUUUAAUAUAGAAGCGCACACCUCUCUCCCUCCCAUACAUGUACACACCUAAAUUCUCCAGUAACUGACUCCUCAGGGAGAUGCUUUAUGUCAUCUACAGCUUCACUUUCCCGGCACAUGGUAUAGGUGCAUCAAGAGCCCUUCAUAACGCAGGAGGAGAAGCAGGGUGUGCUUCAUUUAUGUUUAGAAAAGACAUGUUUAGAGGUUGUAUCAUCCAAUUUGAGUGGGGAAAAGUGGCUGUGCUUUGUAUAUAAGCUUUGCAUAUGAAUGUUUAUGGAAUUGAAAUAGUUGAUUAUUGAAAUGACAAACUUUUCGUAACAGAAAAGCCCUACAUAAACAUAAUGUAUUAAACAUAAUCCCUUGUUAUGUAAUUCUUUCAAGCCCAAAACUCAGAAAAAGCAGCAAUGUGUGCUUUUACUAACUCCUCCCUCAGGUGGGCUUCAAUUUCUUCUCUCUGUUUAUUCUAACCUCUCCAGUUAAACACCAUUCCCUUACUAGAGAUCAAAGUAACUCUGCAUUGUUUCCAUUCUUUACUAACAUUACACACUUCUCGGCCACGCGUGGUGGCUCAUACCUGUAAUCCCAGCACUUUGGGAGGCCGAGGCAGGUGGAUCACCUGAGGUCAGGAGUUUGAGACCAGCCUGGCCAACAUGGUGAAACCCUGUCUCUACUAAAAAUACAAAAAUUAGCUGGGCAUGGUGGCGGGCGCCUGUAAUCCCCACUACUCGGGUGGCUGAGGCAGGAGAAUCACUUGAACUAGGAAAGCAGAGGUUGCAGUGAGCCGAGAUUGCGCCACUGCACUCUAGCCUGGGUGACAAGAGCGAGACUCUGUCUCAAAAAACAUUACACACUUCUCAAAGAGCAAGAGGGUGAGGAUUAUCCCUUUCUAAUUUCUGCUGCUUACUCCCAAACAUAGCUUGAAAAUCCCUUUUGCUUGGCUUUGGCAUUUUGGGGCACAUCUGGAUUCGUUCCAGGGUUUGUCUUCCUGACACAUACACGCAGAAGUGUACACUGUCCUCUUCUCCUGGGUUAAAUACACAUCAGACAAGCCUCAGGUUCUCUGCCUUUGUUAUGUCCCCAGCCUUUCACAGUUAAAGCCCAAAUAACCUCUACCUGCAGGCCCCAGCCUGCCUGAGCCUGUGAAUCAAUUCCCCCUAAGGCCAGAAGAGUAUCAGCCUCAGCCCCAGUGGUCCGAAAUGAGGCUUGCUGCCUAUAGUGUGCUAGCAAUAAAAAAAGUCUUGGGGCCUAUAAGACUUUGGAGUAACAGCAUCUUCAAUCUGUGCUGGCCUCAGCCAUGCAACUGGGAAACAGCAGAAUGCAGUAGGGAGAGUAGUGGCUAAGGAGCCUGCCAGGUUAAGGUUAGUCUUCCCAUUCUCACCCUUGACAAGUCACUGAACCUCUCUGAACCGCCUGUUUUCUCAUCUGUCAAGGGAAGGUAGUCUCUAAUUCCCAUCCCCUGCAGGGGCUCUGUUAUCUAUAUUCAGUCUUUCUAUUACACUGUUUUCAAAUUCAAUACAAGUAGAGGCUUCCCUCUUAAUUUUAUGUCUCAAAUUAUCUUUGCCUGUAGGAUGGUAGAAAAUGUACCUAAUAUGGCUGGGUGUGAUGGCUCACACCUGUAAUCCCAGCACUUUGGGAAGUGGAGGUGGGCAGAUCACAAGGUCAGGAGAUUGAAACCAUCCUGGCUAACAGGGUGAAACCCCAUCUCUACUAAAAAUACAAAAAAUUAGCUGGGCAUGGUGGCGGGCACCUGUAGUCCCAGCUAUUUGGGAGGCUGAGGCAGGAGAAUCGCUUGAACCCAGAAGGCGGAGGUUGCAGUGAGCCGAGAUUGCGCCACUGUACUCCAGCCUCAGUGACAGGGCAAGACUCCAUCUCAAAAAAAAA
ensembl:lncRNA